GACGAACGCUGGCGGCGUGCCUAAUACAUGCAAGUAGAACGCUGAAGGAGGAGCUUGCUUCUCUGGAUGAGUUGCGAACGGGUGAGUAACGCGUAGGUAACCUGCCUGGUAGCGGGGGAUAACUAUUGGAAACGAUAGCUAAUACCGCAUAAGAGUAGAUGUUGCAUGACAUUUGCUUAAAAGGUGCAAUUGCAUCACUACCAGAUGGACCUGCGUUGUAUUAGCUAGUUGGUGGGGUAACGGCUCACCAAGGCGACGAUACAUAGCCGACCUGAGAGGGUGAUCGGCCACACUGGGACUGGGACACGGCCCAGACUCCUACGGGAGGCAGCAGUAGGGAAUCUUCGGCAAUGGACGGAAGUCUGACCGAGCAACGCCGCGUGAGGGAAGAAGGGUUUCGGAUCGUAAAGCUCUGUUGUAAGAGAAGAACGAGUGUGAGAGUGGAAAGUUCACACUGUGACGGUAUCUGACCAGAAAGGGACGGCUAACUACGUG
rnacentral:rRNA from 1 species